rnacentral:sRNA from 1 species
UUACUUAAUUUCUUAGCCUGAAAAGGCUAAUGGCUGGAGGCUGAAUUGCCUCCGGCCU